ACUUUAAUCAUCAACUUUAAUUCCAAAUUAAACAGAAGUGGUCGUAGUCUGAUUUAAACUUCCAGAAACUAGCAAGUGUUUUUCUGUUCACUGUCCUGUUGAGAAAUUGCUUUGGCAUACCAAACAAUUUCUUAAGAACAUGAUUGCCACCAUCAAAUGGAUCAACUCUAAUAGGUGCCAACUACAUUGUACACAAAACGGUUCUAAAGUUGACAGUUAAGAGCUUUGUUUUAAGCAGUCUUUGGACUUCUUACUAACUACCUUCUUUUCUUUCAAUUGCUAAUUCCAUUUUGUAGGAGGCUUUGGCAGUCCUUUAAAACUCUUACUGGCAUUUGUAUCAUUUUCCAGACAAAGAAUUUGCAGGGUCUUAAAAAUGGCAUACCUAGGAACCAUAUUUUUCUAUAAAAUAUUAAUAGGAACCAGAAAAAGUACAAUAACACAUUUGCCUGACAAUCUCCAGAAAUACAAUGAUAGAACUCCUAGAUUCUGUCACAAUAGCAACAUUGUGAAAUAAUGAGUUUUCACAAGAAAGAUCAGUAAGAUAAGACACAGAUUUCCAUAUAUUAUAGUAUUUAAGUGAACAAAUCACAUUUGAUAGAAUUAUACUUUGAUAUUUAUCAUAUUAUAUUCUAAAAUACCACAGAAAGAUGAUUUAUUCACUGAAAUAAAUAUUUGAUGCUCAGAAAAAUGUAGUAGUACUACAUAGUAUUUUCUGUAUGCUAUUCAAAACUGUCCCCAUUAAAAAGCAUCAAUAAUUUGGAUAUGUAAAAUAAUUCAUUAUAUUGAAUCACUGUGACUUCUAUAUAUGCAGUAGGUAGUACUGGCUUUCUACCAACAUCCAUUCCCAUUUUCCCAUGUAUUUCCUUGAUGGCUUAGUAAAAUAUACAUAUUCCAUUCCCCUGGCCUCAGUUACUGGUUGAGGAAAUAUGAUCUUUAUGGUCUAAUCAAGGUGAAUUUGGAACUCUUGCUGGAGUUCUAGAAGUGCUGGAGCAAUAGGGCCACCAUGAGGAAAGUCAGCUUUGAGAUCAAGUGUCUGAUACCCACCCACUUCCCACCUGAUUUAAGAAAGAAAUGUAUGUUCAUCCCCAACUCCUAAAUUGUUGCCCUAGGAGAGUGGCUGACACGCAUUGCUAUAUGUGCUUCCAUAAUAUGCCAGAAUGUUCCUACUGAUGUAAUGCUGGAAAAAGAAAAAGGAGCAGCAAAAUCAGUGUGUAGAAAAGAGCACUCGGAAUAAACUUCUACACCUGGAUACACACAUUCCCACAUCUGGAAGUUGUAUCCACCUGGCUUCACUGCACACCCACCUAAAGCAAUACAAUCAGAAGGCUACAAAGUUCCUUAAUCAUCUGGAGGUAACUCCUCAACCAUAAAUAAGAGAGAGAAGCUGGCCCGAAUCAAGAAAUUGGUUUCAUAAUGACAGAAUAAAUGAGUAAUUCAAGAGAGAUGGUGAUGACAAACAGUGACGGUGAUAUAUUACAAUAAUAUAGUUAAAUGUUUUCUGUAUGGUGGGCCCCAUUCUAAAAGCUUAACAUUAUUAACUCAUUCAAACCUCACAGCAAUUCAAUGAGUUGGGUACUACUAAUAGAAAAACUAAAGAUGAAAGGGCUAAAAAAUUUGUGUAAGACCACACACCUAGUAAGGGGUCAGCCAGUACUCUGAUUCCUACUGGUUCCUUCUAAAAACAAGAAAAAAAACACAGGUUGUGUCAUGGAAUUCUUUUCUAUAUCAAAAAUUCCAGGCCUACAGAACUGAAAGACAUUAAUUUGUCGUUGUUUUAAGCCACUAAAUUCGUGCUACCUUGUUACAGCAGCAAGAGAAAACCAACACGGGGAUCUCCUAAUUCUAGUGAAGUCUGCCCCUUAAAGGUGAAGGAGAGAAA